rnacentral:rRNA from 1 species
UACAGAGGUCCCAAGCGUUGUUCGGAUUCAUUGGGCGUAAAGGGUGCGUAGGCGGCGCGGUAAGUCGGGUGUGAAAUCUCGGGGCUUAACUCCGAAACUGCAUUCGAUACUGCCGUGCUUGAGGACUGGGGAGGAGACUGGAAUUUACGGUGUAGCGGUGAAAUGCGUAGAUAUCGUAAGGAAGACCAGUGGCGAAGGCGGGUCUCUGGACAGUUCCUGACGCUGAGGCACGAAGGUCAGGGGAGCAAACGGG